rnacentral:rRNA from 1 species
CGGGGUGAGUAAUGUCUGGGAAACUGCCUGAUGGAGGGGGAUAACUGCUGGAAACGGUAGCUAAUACCGCAUAACGUCGCAAGACCAAAGAGGGGGACCUUCGGGCCUCUUGCCAUCGGAUGUGCCCAGAUGGGAUUAGCUAGUAGGUGGGGUAACGGCUCACCUAGCGACGAUCCCUAGCUGGUCUGAGAGGAUGGCCAGCCACACUGGAACUGAGACACGGUCCAG